rnacentral:rRNA from 1 species
UACGUAGGGUGCAAGCGUUAUUCGGAAUUACUGGGCGUAAAGCGUGCGCAGGCGGUUAUGUAAGUCAGGUGUGAAAUCCCCGGGCUUAACCUGGGAACUGCAUUUGUGACUGCAUCGCUUGAGUGCGGCAGAGGGGGAUGGAAUUCCGCGUGUAGCAGUGAAAUGCGUAGAUAUGCGGAGGAACACCGAUGGCGAAGGCAAUCCCCUGGGCCUGCACUGACGCUCAUGCACGAAAGCGUGGGGAGCAAACAGG